rnacentral:lncRNA from 1 species
GUUAAACAUAUAACUAUGUUAACCUCUUCAAUUUCUUAAACAUUUUAAGUGGUAAUCUGUUGUUUAUUCAGAAAUAUAUGCCGCUGCUUGCAAAAUUACAAACUGCAUUAUCUCUAAAACGACAAUAGAUAUCUCAAAUCUGUUAAAUGAUAAAUGAUGUACAGUUGAAGGACAACAUUAUAGAAAAAGAAUUGGGACAAUUUCAAAGUUCAAUAAGGUCACAAUUAAUCAUCAAAUAUAUGAUGCAAUAUCAAACUUGAGAACUGGAAGUCGUAGAGACAUGGGACUACCACCAUUCAACUCAAGACCACUUGACCUUUCAAUUAUCACAAGGUCAAGGUCAUUGUAUAAUUUGAAGGUCAAGGUGAAAUUUCAUCAUUACCUGACAUUGACCUCAAAUUGAAGGUCUUGAAUUACUGAUCAUCUUUGCUGUUUAUAGUAGGUUGAUAUCUGUUACCUUUAAAAAGAUAUACAUACAAUACUAUACUUUUAAGAAUCAUCCUGUUGUAACUUUUGAACAGACAGUCGGACAUUUUUUGACUUAUCAUAUAAAAUGUAGAGCUCGUCGAGAGGAACAUUUUAUACGCUGAAUGUAUGCAGCAAAGUCUUAUCGUUUUCCUAAUAUGUAAGCUUGAAUUUGCAGCGUAAUUUUUUUUUGCACUCAGUGACCUUUGACCUUGACUGCAUAUUAAAGGUCACACGAAUUAAAGAUUAUUGGUGAAGGUCCCAAGUCUCUACGACAUUUGGUUCUCGAUAUACAAUUUUUCAAAAAUUAUGUACAAUUUUUCAAGGGGAACAACUCCUUAUAAGGGUUAAUAACAAAAUGAUUGUACAUGUUUAUUAACAUUGCCAUCAGUUCUUGUACAUAAUGCCGUUUUCAAAUCAAUUCUAUCUCUUAUACUUUUUGAGAAAAAUGCAAAGGAAAGAAAUUGUUUCAAGGGGAUAUAACUCUCAUAGGAGACGAUGAAAUCCUAUUCAGGCUCACAUGGUAAUACAUCAUGAUGAGAUCUACAUUAUGUCCAAUAAAGGUCACAAUAUCUUUAAAACCAACGAGGGAGGGCCAUGUUGAAAAAAAUCAAUAAAAGGGAAAUAACUCUUAAAGGGGAUGAUGAAAUCCUUAACAAGGUCAUUUUGGUAAUACAGCUUGGUGAGAUCUAGCGAUGGUCCAUAUUUGGUCUUAAUAACUUCAACAGAAACAAGAGGCGGGUAUGUCAAAAAAAUGUUGGAAGAAAAAAAAAAAAACUAGUAUCUCAAUUGUUUGUAAAACAAUUGAAAGGUCUUUCCUGUAAAAGUGAUGUUUUCGUAAUGUACUUUGUACGACCUUUCGUUUGAUAUAUGACAAGCAUACCUUCUGAAACUGUUCGCUUUUUACACUUAAUGACCUCUUCCGGCUACAUUUUCGAGAUCGGAAGUAUGAUAUAUGUAACAUAGACAAGAUGAUCUUUCAUUUGAUAUGCGACAACACCAUGUUCUACAAAGUUUGAGUUUUGCACUUAAUAACCCCAUCCAACUAAUUUUUGGAGGUCAGGAAUUUGAUAUUUCAAAUGAACACAUCAUGGCCUUUUUUUCGAUAUACAACAACCCUAUCUAAAAAGAAAAUUUACUUUUUGCACUCAAUGACCCAUCCAACCAAUUUUUGGGGAACGUCAAUUUGAAAUUUGAAAUGUACGCUUUAUGUUCUUUCAUUUGAUAUGCGACAACCUUACCAUCUGAGAAAUUUGAAUUUUUGCACUAAAUGACCCCACCCGUCCCGCUGGGAUGAAAAGGGGGUUUAAAAUUUUCAUUUUUAAGAAGAGUUUAUUAAGACCUUCAAUUUGAUAUAUCAGAUGACCCCAUUUGACAAAGUGCCAAAAAUGAUGCAAUAUCAACUAUAUAAAUAGAAGUUAUGAAACUUACAAAGUCAAUGCAAAACAUAAAAAUUUCAAAUUGAUUUUUUGGUGUUUUUUUUCCAUGGAAUGUUUUGGGUAUUUGGUCAAACACAUAACUAUGUUAACCUCUUCAAUUUAAUAAACAUUUUAAGUGGUAAGCUCUUGUUGAUUCAGAAAUACAUGCCUCCACUCAUAAAAUUUCAAACUGCAUUAUCUCUAAAACCACAACAGAUAUCUCAAAUCUGUUAAAUGAUAAAUGAUAUACAGUUGAAGGACAACAGUAUAGAAAAAGAAUUGGGACAAUUUCGAAGUUCACCAAGGUCACAAUUAAUCAUCAAAUAUAUGAUGCAAUACCAAACUUGAGAACCGGAAGUCGUAGAGACAUGGGACUAUCACCAUUCAACUCAGGACCACUUGACCUUUCAUAUAUCACAAGGUCAAGGUCAUAGUAUACUGUGAAGGUCAAGGUGAAAUUUCAUCAUGACCUGACAUUGACCUCAAAUUGAAGGUCUUGAAUUACUGAUCAUCUUUGC